GUACUGAGACACGGACCAGACUCCUACGGGAGGCAGCAGUGGGGAAUAUUGCACAAUGGGGGCAACCCUGAUCCAGCAAUGCCGCGUGAGUGAAGAAGGCCUUCGGGUUGUAAAGCUCUUUUGUCAGGGAAGAGACAGCAGCUCUAACACAGUCUGCGAAUGACGGUACCUGAAGAAUAAGCACCGGCUAACUACGUGCCAGCAGCCGCGGUAAUACGUAGGGUGCAAGCGUUAAUCGGAAUUACUGGGCGUAAAGCGUGCGCAGGCGGUUAUACAAGACAGGCGUGAAAUCCCCGGGCUUAACCUGGGAAUGGCGUCUGUGACUGUAUGACUAGAGUGUGUCAGAGGGGGGUAGAAUUCCACGUGUAGCAGUGAAAUGCGUAGAUAUGUGGAGGAAUACCAAUGGCGAAGGCAGCCCCCUGGGAUAACACUGACGCUCAUGCACGAAAGCGUGGGGAGCAAACAGGAUUAGAUACCCUGGUAGUCCACGCCCUAAACGAUGCCGACUAGUCGUUGGGAAUUUACAUUCUCAGUAACGUAGCUAACGCGUGAAGUCGGCCGCCUGGGGAGUACGGUCGCAAGAUUAAAACUCAAAGGAAUUGACGG
rnacentral:rRNA from 1 species